rnacentral:rRNA from 1 species
AGAGUUUGAUCCUGGCUCAGAUUGAACGCUGGCGGCAGGCCUAACACAUGCAAGUCGAGCGGAAACGAGUUAUCUGAACCUUCGGGGAACGAUAACGGCGUCGAGCGGCGGACGGGUGAGUAAUGCCUAGGAAAUUGCCCUGAUGUGGGGGAUAACCAUUGGAAACGAUGGCUAAUACCGCAUGAUGCCUACGGGCCAAAGAGGGGGACCUUCGGGCCUCUCGCGUCAGGAUAUGCCUAGGUGGGAUUAGCUAGUUGGUGAGGUAAGGGCUCACCAAGGCGACGAUCCCUAGCUGGUCUGAGAGGAUGAUCAGCCACACUGGAACUGAGACACGGUCCAGACUCCUACGGGAGGCAGCAGUGGGGAAUAUUGCACAAUGGGCGCAAGCCUGAUGCAGCCAUGCCGCGUGUGUGAAGAAGGCCUUCGGGUUGUAAAGCACUUUCAGUCGUGAGGAAGGUAGUGUAGUUAAUAGCUGCAUUAUUUGACGUUAGCGACAGAAGAAGCACCGGCUAACUCCGUGCCAGCAGCCGCGGUAAUACGGAGGGUGCGAGCGUUAAUCGGAAUUACUGGGCGUAAAGCGCAUGCAGGUGGUUUGUUAAGUCAGAUGUGAAAGCCCGGGGCUCAACCUCGGAAUAGCAUUUGAAACUGGCAGACUAGAGUACUGUAGAGGGGGGUAGAAUUUCAGGUGUAGCGGUGAAAUGCGUAGAGAUCUGAAGGAAUACCGGUGGCGAAGGCGGCCCCCUGGACAGAUACUGACACUCAGAUGCGAAAGCGUGGGGAGCAAACAGGAUUAGAUACCCUGGUAGUCCACGCCGUAAACGAUGUCUACUUGGAGGUUGUGGCCUUGAGCCGUGGCUUUCGGAGCUAACGCGUUAAGUAGACCGCCUGGGGAGUACGGUCGCAAGAUUAAAACUCAAAUGAAUUGACGGGGGCCCGCACAAGCGGUGGAGCAUGUGGUUUAAUUCGAUGCAACGCGAAGAACCUUACCUACUCUUGACAUCCAGAGAACUUUCCAGAGAUGGAUUGGUGCCUUCGGGAACUCUGAGACAGGUGCUGCAUGGCUGUCGUCAGCUCGUGUUGUGAAAUGUUGGGUUAAGUCCCGCAACGAGCGCAACCCUUAUCCUUGUUUGCCAGCGAGUAAUGUCGGGAACUCCAGGGAGACUGCCGGUGAUAAACCGGAGGAAGGUGGGGACGACGUCAAGUCAUCAUGGCCCUUACGAGUAGGGCUACACACGUGCUACAAUGGCGCAUACAGAGGGCGGCCAACUUGCGAAAGUGAGCGAAUCCCAAAAAGUGCGUCGUAGUCCGGAUUGGAGUCUGCAACUCGACUCCAUGAAGUCGGAAUCGCUAGUAAUCGUGGAUCAGAAUGCCACGGUGAAUACGUUCCCGGGCCUUGUACACACCGCCCGUCACACCAUGGGAGUGGGCUGCAAAAGAAGUAGGUAGUUUAACCUUCGGGGGGACGCUUACCACUUUGUGGUUCAUGACUGGGGUGAAGUCGUAACAAGGUAGCCGU